AUACGGAGGGUACAAGCGUUAUCCGGAAUCAUUGGGUUUAAAGGGUCCGUAGGCGGGCGAUUAAGUCAGAGGUGAAAUCCCACAGCUCAACUGUGGAACUGCCUUUGAUACUGGUUGUCUUGAGUUACAGUGAAGUAGAUAGAAUGUGUAGUGUAGCGGUGAAAUGCAUAGAUAUUACACAGAAUACCGAUUGCGAAGGCAGUCUACUAACUGUAUCCUGACGCUAAUGGACGAAAGCGUGGGGAGCGAACAGGAGUAGAAACCCUUGUAGUCC
rnacentral:rRNA from 1 species